rnacentral:rRNA from 1 species
UGGCGAACGGGUGAGUAACACGUGGGCAACCUGCCCAAAGGAGGGGGAUAACACUUGGAAACAGGUGCUAAUACCGCAUAACCAUAGUUACCGCAUGGUAACUAUGUAAAAGGUGGCUAUGCUACCGCUUUUGGAUGGGCCCGCGGCGCAUUAGCUAGUUGGUGGGGUAAAGGCUUACCAAGGCAAUGAUGCGUAGCCGAACUGAGAGGUUGAUCGGCCACAUUGGGACUGAGACACGGCCCAAACUCCUACGGAAGGCAGCAG